AUAUACAGCCAUAGCACCCUGAGAACGCCCCAUCCCGUCUGAUGUGGGAAGCUAAGCAGGGUCGGGCCUGGUUAGUGCUUGGAUGGGAGACCAAUGGUACCUGGGGGGCAUUAGAAG
rnacentral:rRNA from 1 species